rnacentral:rRNA from 1 species
CCUACGGGAGGCAGCAGUAAGGAAUAUUGGUCAAUGGACGAAAGUCUGAACCAGCCAUGCCGCGUGAAGGAUUAAGGCCCUCUGGGUUGUAAACUUCUUUUAUCUGGGACGAAAAAAGGGUAUUCUUACUCACUUGACGGUACCAGAGGAAUAAGCACCGGCUAACUCCGUGCCAGCAGCCGCGGUAAUACGGAGGGUGCAAGCGUUAUCCGGAUUUACUGGGUUUAAAGGGUGCGUAGGUGGGUUUGUAAGUCAGUGGUGAAAUCUCCGAGCUUAACUCGGAAACUGCCAUUGAUACUAUAGAUCUUGAAUUAUCUGGAGGUAAGCGGAAUAUGUCAUGUAGCGGUGAAAUGCUUAGAUAUGACAUAGAACACCAAUUGCGAAGGCAGCUUACUACGGAUAUAUUGACACUGAGGCACGAAAGCGUGGGGAUCAAACAGGAUUAGAUACCCUGGUAGUCCACGCCCUAAACGAUGGAUACUCGACAUCAGCGAUACACUGUUGGUGUCUGAGCGAAAGCAUUAAGUAUCCCACCUGGGAAGUACGAUCGCAAGAUUGAAACUCAAAGAGUAUUAGCGNGNGAGAGNGACGACGACGACGACGGAGGGAGGAGG